GUUCGACAGCGAGUCCCUCGCUCUCGAUGGUUCGACCGUCUAUGUGGGUCUCGAGCGGGUCAAUCAGAUCCUGCGGUUCGAUUUCAGCAAGGGCGGGAUCAGGUCGAAGGGCGAGAUCGUGCCGGUGCCGCCCGACGCCCGAAAUCGGCAAGUUGCCCUUCAACAAGGGGCUGGAAACGCUGGUGUUCGUUCCCAAGGGGCAGCCGCUCGCCGGAACGCUGAUCGCGAUUU
rnacentral:misc_RNA from 1 species